AUGUUGCUGUGAAAAUGCCAAUGUGCCCACACAGCAGAGCCGGAGUCCCUUUGGCAGCACACUGCAUUGCAAGUGAAGAAUACUUGAGGAACCUUGCUUCUGCCUUUGUUCAUGAAAACUGCAACGUUUUGUGAAAAAAGGGACAAGAUAAGAAGGAGGAACUGAUUGGUUUCCUUGAUACGCUUCCUAAUUGUAUGGAUCCAAAUCAAAUCUCUGCUUUUAUCUUCUGCAGCUGGAGGAGUUUAAUUUAUUUUGCUUUCUGCUGUGCCCACACCUGACCAACCAAAGCAGCUUCAAGAGGGUCCCAUCGAUCUCUGCUGUUUAACCCCUGUAUCUCUUCCUAUGGCUUUCCAAAGGAGACUGCAGUCGUUUGCCAGAGCUCUGUAGAUACAGCAGUCAGGGAAUGCCCUUCCUGUUGCCCCUGAAGCUGAUAGCGCAUCCAUUCAUGCAUUCGUAUUCUUUUCAAAGGGAUGAGAAGCAUCGAGAGGAACCUGGCACCGAUGGCAGCGAAUGCUCUGCGUUCAGCAACAUAAUGGAGCCAACAUGGAUUUCAGUACUGCAGAACCAGGAGCUAUGGAAAUACCUGAGUGUGGGCCCAUGCCAACUGUUUUACAUCAUCUUCAGCUCGAAGCAACAGCAAUACAGGCUUCUGUGUGCAGGCUUUGGUGUAUUGUGCUCCUAGUAGAUACUGAUACAUUGCUAUGAACUGAAUAUAACUGCAAAGGCAGAUACGAGUGAAAAUGUAGCUUUGAGCAGACUAGGUGGAUGAUGAAAUGAAACGCAUACAUGAAGACAUCGUCCCAGUUUCAUUUGUAAAUUGUGAGGUUCUGUCCUAACCUUUACUUCUUUGGAGAGAGAAUUUGAGGAUACAGUUGGUAAUUGCAUGAAAGUGACAUCUCAGUGCUUAGUACUGAACAAAAAGAAUCACAAAUGUUAGGAACUAUUGGUAAAGCAAUAGAGAACAAAACAGAGUUAAUCAUUAUGCCUUUAUAUAAAUGCAUGGCAUGUCUGUGUCUUUGUACUGUUCUGUUCUUUUCAUCUCAGAAAGAAUAUAGUGGAACUGG
rnacentral:lncRNA from 7 species